CAAAGGUUUGGUCCUAGCCUUAUUAUCAACUGUUUCUCAACUUACACAUGCAAGUAUCAGCACACCCGUGAGAACGCCCUUUAAAUCUUACCCAGAUAAAGGAGCUGGUAUCAGGCACAAACCCUCCGCCCACAACACCUAGUCUCACCACACCCUCAAGGGUAAUCAGCAGUGAUUAAUUUUGCGUAUGAGCGUCAGCUUGACUCAGUUAGAGAAAAGAGGGCCGGCUAACCCGGUGCCAGCCGCCGCGGCUACACCGUGGGGCUCGAGUUGAUAGUCAUCGGCGUUAAGCGUGAUUAAAGUUAUUACAAAUUAAGGUUAAAUUAAUACUUAGUAGUUUUAUGCUUGUUAUUAAGAAAUCCACAAACGAAAGUUACCCUAAUUAUUAUGCUUGAAUACACGACAGCUAGGAAAACAAACUGGGAUUAGAUACCCCACUAUGCCUAGCCGUAAACAAUUAAUUUACACCAAUAAGCGCCAGGGAAUUACGAGCAAUGCUUAAAACCCAAAGGAUUUGACGGUGUCCCACCCCACUAGAGGAGCCUGUUCUAUAAUCGAUGAUCCCCGAUAUACCCGACCAUUUCUCGCUUAUCAGUCUGUAUACCUCCGUCGAAAGCUUACCAUGUGAACGCUUGCAGUAGGCUUAAUGACCUAACACGUCAAUACGUCAGGUCAAGGUGCAGCUUAAGAAAUGGGAAGUAAUGGGCUACAAUUUCUAAUCUAGAACAAACGAAAGACUAUAUGAAAUUAUAAUCAUGAAGGUGGAUUUAGUAGUAAAAAGAAAAUAGAGUGUUCUUUUUAACCCGGCUCUGGGACGCGUACACACCGCCCGUCACCCUCUUCGAUAGUAUCUCACCCCGUUCCUAACCCACUAUUACAUUUUAGAAGAGGCAAGUCGUAACAUGGUAAGUGUACUGGAAAGUGCACUUGGUUUAUA
rnacentral:rRNA from 13 species